rnacentral:rRNA from 1 species
CAGCCGCCGCGGUAAUACGAAGGUGGCAAGCGUUGUUCGGAAUCACUGGGCUUAAAGCGCGCGUAGGCGGAAAUUCAAGUGUCCUGUGAAAUCCCCCGGCUCAACCGGGGAACUGCGGGGCAAACUGGAUUUCUUGAGGCAAGUAGGGGUACAUGGAACUCUUAGUGGAGCGGUGGAAUGCGUAGAUAUUAAGAGGAACGCCAAUGGUGAAGACAGUGUACUGGGCUUGUCCUGACGCUGAGGUGCGAAAGCGUGGGGAGCGAACGGGAUUAGAUACCCCGGUAGUCCACGCCGUAAACGAUGUCUACUAGGUUGUGGAGGUUCUGACACCCUCACAGUCGAAGCAAAAGUGUUAAGUAGACCGCCUGGGGAGUACGGUCGCAAGGCUAAAACUCAAAGGAAUUGACGGGGGCUCACACAAGCGGUGGAGCAUGUGGAUUAAUUCGAAGCAACGCGCAGAACCUUACCUGGGUUUGACAUGUUUGGAUGCUACUUUGGAAACAAAGGAUGCUGCCUUCGGGGUGAAACUUACACAGGUGCUGCAUGGCUGUCGUCAGCUCGUGUCGUGAGAUGUCGGGUUAAGUCCUUUAACGAGCGAAACCCUUGCCGUUAGUUGCCAGCGAGUAAUGUCGGGAACUCUAGCGGGACUGCCGGUGUUAAACCGGAGGAAGGUGGGGAUGACGUCAAGUCCUCAUGGCCUUUAUGCCCAGGGCCUCACACGUGCUACAAUGGUCACUACAGA